GACUCAUGGAUUUUCUCCCCUGAACAAAGCAUAGUGCGUCUCUACAACCUCUCCAGGCUCCUGGGUAGAGAUGAGACUUUGGGAAGAAUGUUGAACCAUUUUCGCAGGCAUGGAACCUGCAAGGAGACUGGUCCACAGUAUGCACUCAAUGAAUGCUGGAGUGAAUAAAUGAAGAGCCAUGUUGGAACUGGCACUGAAUGGGAGAACCUCCUGGGGAGGUUGAUGGUGGAAAUGCAAAAAGGCUCUGAAAAAUAAGUACAUUUAGGUGGAGAGAGAGAGAAGAAAGCAUAAAGAAAAGCAGAGGAGAGACAAAGAGGCAAGGAGCCUAGAAAGAGAAAAGGAUGAGAGAGGCCGUUUGCUGCAGCCAGCUGUGUGGUUCAUGGUGGAGCUUGUA